rnacentral:tRNA from 1 species
UCGGGAUAGCUCANCUGGUAGAGCAGAGGACUGAAAAUCCUCCGUGUCC